GGAAUUUUGGACAAUGGGCGCAAGCCUGAUCCAGCCAUGCCGCGUGAGUGAAGAAGGCCUUCGGGUUGUAAAGCUCUUUCGGUGAAGACGAAACGGUUAGCGCUAAUAACGCUGACUAAUGACGGUACUCACAGAAGAAGCACCGGCUAACUACGUGCCAGCAGCCGCGGUAAUACGUAGGGUGCAGGCGUUAAUCGGAAUUACUGGGCGUAAAGCGUGCGCAGGCGGUUUGCUAAGACAGGUGUGAAAUCCCCGGGCUUAACCUGGGAAUUGCGCUUGUAACUGGCAAGCUAGAGUGUGGCAGAGGGGGGUGGAAUUCCACGUGUAGCAGUGAAAUGCGUAGAUAUGUGGAGGAACACCGAUGGCGAAGGCAGCCCCCUGGGUUAACACUGACGCUCAGGCACGAAAGCGUGGGGAGCAAACAGGAUUAGAUACCCUGGUAGUCCACGCCCUAAACUAUGUCAACUAGUUGUCGGGGAAGAAAUUCCUUGGUAACGAAGCUAACGCGUGAAGUUGACCGCCUGGGGAGUACGGCCGCAAGGUUAAAACUCAAAUGAAUUGACGG
rnacentral:rRNA from 1 species